GCUGCUUGCCUAGAGAUCCAGAUGAAAACUUUAAGGCUCCCCAUGAGGAUAUUUUGGUGACCAAAAAAAGUGACCAGGAAAAAUUCCUGCCUAGAAUUUAGGAGAAUAUAAGAGCUAGAAGAUUCCUCUGGUAUAUGCCUCCUGAAGAGGAAUGUGGCUGGCCCCACUGAUAGUUAUUGUGCCAUGGGGACUCAUGGACCAUGGCCAGGACAGAUUCCCCAACACACAGACUAUGACCAAGUGGUGAAGGACAGUAUAUCAUCAGGAGACCUGGAGUGAUUUCAUGGAGAUCUGGAGCAUAUUAUACUUUACAAACCACCAAUAAAUUUGGGAAAUGUUGCACCUAUAAUCCCCUUCCUGGAUAGUCACAGUGUGCAUAGCACAUUGAUGACUUUAAGAAGUUCUGCACUAAAGAAGAUUCUUCAACUCAUCUGACCAUGAUACUUCAUAUUCAGAAAAGACUUAUGUGUCAGUCAAGAUAAUCUUAGUAUGGCUGCUGUGUCAGACAACCUCUGAACCUCACUGGCUUAAAAUAGCAAGGUUUACUUCUCAUUCAUGUUGUAUAUCCAUUGUUGGUUGACUGGAGAUCUUGUGCGGUGUGGUCUUCACUCUGGGAUCCAAGGUGUUAGAGCAAGCACCAUCUGAGCAUCUUUGGUUGCUCUGGCAGAAGGAAGAUAAACAUCCCCAAGCUGAAAGGAAGAGUACUGAGAACAAAUUAAAAGUAUCAUGUGAUAGCUGUACCACAAAGAUGGAUUAAAACAGCCCUAUCCACACACCAUACCACCUUCAGACUGUGGUAAAUCUACUGCAACAUUAUUAAAGUAUUCCAUAUAUAUUUUAUUUUUAUAAUAAUGAAUCUGAUAAGCUCUAAUAUCCUUUG